rnacentral:lncRNA from 1 species
CAUAACUGUUAUGUAGUUCGGAUAGCUUAGUUUUAAAAGACUGAUUAAAAAACAAAAAGAAAAAAAAAAAGAAGCAAUUUUGAAGCAGCCCUCCAAAAGGAGUUGGUUCUGUAUUAUUUGUAUUAAAUACGAGCUUGCGAACCAAUCAUUUUACAUCUGGUUUUUAAACCAUAAGGGCACAAGGAAUGCAGUGCCAUUUACUUUUUUUUUUUUUUUUUUUCUGUGUGAAACAACUUUUAUUGUGAUGUUACUUGUUAUUGUUUAAAUGUACAGAAACAAAGGGUUAAAAUGUGUUAAUAUACCUUGUUCCAUGGUGUUGUUCUUUUGGGGGGAGGGGGUUGCUAUUCAACAAUUAAUGGAAUCACAUUGCUGUUGGACCAGUAGUAUUUAUUGCUUUAGAGAUUGCUCGUCGAACCUGUACGUUGUCCCUUUUAAAAUAUGUUUUCCUUUUUCUUGAAACUGUAUAAAGUUUUUUUCCCCUUAGCAUAAGCAUCUUAUAUAUAACAACUCAUUUGUACAAGGUUUUUAAGUUUAUAUAUAAAAUGUGUAUAUAUAUAUUUUUUGUUUCCCUUUUGGACUUUUUUUUUUUUUUUUUGCCGUAUGAAACCCAGAUACCGCCAAAUGGACAUUAAUAGUUGCAUUAAAGGAUCAGUAGCAUUAACGAAAGUUGCUUUAAAAGCCAUUAUGUAAAACAAGACUUGAACAUUAGUGAGGGAAUCUUAGAACGCUGUACCAGCAGCAGUGGGAAUUGUCCCGUUUCCCCUGUGAACUCACAGGCGAGCACCCUGCACCCUGAGGACAUGGACUGACCGUGUGCAAAACUUUUUAUGUGCCAAAAUUCUCAGUGACUUUAGCUUUCUCCCUCUUUUUGAUGCUGUAAUUUUUGUUCAUCAUGUUUUGCUGUGAUGUUACAUAGGUAGAUUUGUAUGUAGUUUUAAUGUCACCUAUAACAAGACGUGUUUGGUAGCAGAUUGUCCAGAAAGCAUUUUAAAUGAAGAGGUAUAAACCCUUAAGGGCCAAAAAUUCUGUAUAUUAGAUUACUCUUAAAGGAAAAACCAGCUGCCGCUUUUAUGUACCUGUAUGACAUACAAGUAGGUAGCACACUUUAAAAAUAAAAAAAAAAACCUAGGCAUGUUGAUGUUACAAAAUGCUGUAUAAAGCUAAAACCUGUUCAUUCAGUGCCAUUGUAGUUGACAUGAAGCGAUUGUAAAACUGUCUCCGGUUUUUCUCUGGUUUAUUAAAAUGCUAACUAUAACAUUUUUUUGUGAAUACUUUGAAUGUUUCCUAACAAUUGUGAUGUUACUGUUCCGUUUUAUGCUCUUAUUCCAAUUUCAUUUUUAAUGGUUUGGAAGCCAUUUUUGUAAUGAAUAAAUGUUCAUGCUGUACAGUAUCUGUAGCAUGCCAUUCUGGAUUAAUAAAAGCAACUUAGUAUGUGCAGA